AACGAACGCCGGCGGCGCGUCUUAAGCAUGCAAGUCGGACGGCAAGAAGAGAGCUUGCUCUCUUCCUAGAGUGGCGGACUGGUGAGUAACACGUGGGUGACGUACCCUUUAGCUGGGGAUAGCCGGUAGAAAUACCGGGUAAUACCGAAUAAUCUUGCUUCUUUGAAGUGAAGUAAGGAAAGGAGCUUCGGCUUCACUGAAGGAACGGCCCGCGCACUAUUAGCUAGUUGGUGAGGUAACGGCUCACCAAGGCAACGAUAGUCAUCCGGCCUAAGAGGGUGAACGGACACAUUGGGACUGAGAUACGGCCCAGACUCCUACGGGAGGCAGCAGCUAAGAAUAUUCCGCAAUGGAGGAAACUCUGACGGAGCGACGCCGCGUGGAUGAUGAAGGUCGGAAGAUUGUAAAAUCCUUUUAAGUAUGAUGAAUAACCUGAUCAGGAAUGGGACAGGGAUGACCGUAAUACUUGAAUAAGCAACGGCUAAUUACGUGCCAGCAGCCGACGG
rnacentral:rRNA from 1 species